GAUUAUAUUGUUAGUGGUAGCCGUUGCUUUUGUGACUGCUAUUAUUUUCAACUCCAAUCUUUGUCUUGUACCUGAGAAGGGAAGAGACAAGUGAACGUGUUAUGUGUUUUUUAUGUGUUUUUCCCUGGGAUUCCCUCGAGAAAAUUUAUUCAAAACAUUUUUUUAUACAAAUCACUGAUUUUUAUUCUCCUCACAAGGAAUUCUCCUCACAAGGAAAUAAUCUUA
rnacentral:misc_RNA from 1 species